GACGAACGCUGGCGGCGUGCUUAACACAUGCAAGUCGAACGGAAAGGCCCUGCUUUUGUGGGGUGCUCGAGUGGCGAACGGGUGAGUAACACGUGAGUAACCUGCCCUUGACUUUGGGAUAACUUCAGGAAACUGGGGCUAAUACCGGAUAGGAGCUCCUGCUGCAUGGUGGGGGUUGGAAAGUUUCGGCGGUUGGGGAUGGACUCGCGGCUUAUCAGCUUGUUGGUGGGGUAGUGGCUUACCAAGGCUUUGACGGGUAGCCGGCCUGAGAGGGUGACCGGCCACAUUGGGACUGAGAUACGGCCCAGACUCCUACGGGAGGCAGCAGUGGGGAAUAUUGCACAAUGGGCGGAAGCCUGAUGCAGCAACGCCGGGUGCGGGAUGACGGCCUUCGGGUUGUAAACCGCUUUCGCAUGUGACGAAGCGUGAGUGACGGUAAUGGGGAAAGAAGCACCGGCUAACUACGU
rnacentral:rRNA from 1 species